rnacentral:rRNA from 1 species
AGAGACAGCAGUCGCCACGGUAAAACGGAGGGUGCAAGCGUUAAUCGGAAUUACUGGGCGUAAAGCGCACGCAGGCGGUCUGACAAGUCAGAUGUGAAAUCCCCGGGCUUAACCUGGGAACUGCAUUUGAAACUGUCAGGCUGGAGUCUUGUAGAGGGGGGUAGAAUUCCAGGUGUAGCGGUGAAAUGCGUAGAGAUCUGGAGGAAUACCGGUGGCGAAGGCGGCCCCCUGGACAAAGACUGACGCUCAGGUGCGAAAGCGUGGGGAGCAAACAGGAUUAGAUACCCCGGUAGUCCCUGUCUCUUAUAC